GGGAUAUGUUGAAUGUACCUGUUUUAUGCAAUGGCUGCACAGUUAUAUAUUUUUAUGUAUUUUAUUGUCUUUUGCUGCCAUGUGUUCAAUUGAGUUUUGCCUCUGUCCUUGGAGAUAAUUGGAUUACUUCCCAAUUAUCUCCAGGAUAGAAGACUCUGUGGAACUGGUUUUGGGCAGAAAAGCCAUGCUUCAUUUAGUCACAAAGGACUACGAUCUAUUGUUUGAACCACUGGACCAAUUUGUAUGAUUUUGGCGUAUGUUUGUAUUUGGAGUAUGCUGAUUCCGAAAAUGUAAGUUUUAUGUGAAUGUGAUGCAUACUUUUAAAAUUAUGAAUUAUGUGGAAAAACUGUAUUUCUC